GCUGGAUCGGUGAUGUUUUAUAAAACUGCGUUAUCUAUCUGAUUGUCCAUUUUGGAUCUGAAGAUCAACUUUGCAUUUCUGAGAUCCCUU
rnacentral:snoRNA from 1 species